GUGGGGAAUUUUGGACAAUGGGCGCAAGCCUGAUCCAGCCAUUCCGCGUGAGUGAAGAAGGCCUUCGGGUUGUAAAGCUCUUUCGGCAGGAACGAAACGGUGGGGGCUAAUACCCUCUGCUAAUGACGGUACCUGAAGAAGAAGCACCGGCUAACUACGUGCCAGCAGCCGCGGUAAUACGUAGGGUGCGAGCGUUAAUCGGAAUUACUGGGCGUAAAGCGUGCGCAGGCGGUUCUAUAAGACAGAUGUGAAAUCCCCGGGCUUAACCUGGGAACUGCGUUUGUGACUGUAGGACUCGAGUGUGGCAGAGGGGGGUGGAAUUCCACGUGUAGCAGUGAAAUGCGUAGAGAUGUGGAGGAACACCGAUGGCGAAGGCAGCCCCCUGGGUCAACACUGACGCUCAUGCACGAAAGCGUGGGUAGCAAACAGGAUUAGAAACCCUUGUAGUCC
rnacentral:rRNA from 1 species